rnacentral:rRNA from 1 species
AGUGAACGCUGGCGGUAGGCCUAACACAUGCAAGUCGAACGGCAGCACAGUAAGAGCUUGCUCUUACGGGCGGCGAGUGGCGGACGGGUGCGGAAUACAUCGGAAACUACUUUUUAGGGGGGGAUAACGUAGGGAAACUUACUCUAAUACCGCAUACGACCUACGGGUGAAAGCAGGGGAUCUUCUGACCUUGCGCGAGUGAAUGAGCCGAUGUCGGAUUAGCUAGUUGGCGGGGUAAAGGCCCACCAAGGCGACGAUCCGUAGCGGGUCUGAGAGGAUGAUCAGCCACACUGGAACUGAGACACGGUCCACACUCCUGCGCGAGGCAGCAGUGGGGAAUAUUGGACAAUGGGCGCAAGCCUGAUCCAGCCAUACCGCGUGGGUCAAGAAGGCCUUCGGCUUCUAAAGCCCUUUUGUUGGGAAAGAAAAGCAGCAGGUUAAUACCCCGCUGUUCUGACGGUACCCAAAGAAUAAGCACCGGCUAACUUCGUG